GGUGACAAUGCGCGAAAUCAGAUAAAUAUUCCUCAAUUCAUCAGAGCGUGCACUAAUGCAAUUUCAUCAAUAAGAUUCAGGAGAGAAGCAACAUUUGUUUAAGGGGGAUUUAAUUUUCUGCAAGGACGGAGAAGCUUAAUCCAAUCAGUUUUAAUAUACAUGGGGAGUUGACCAACAUUUGUGAAGCUUUGAUAGUUUAUAUCUGGUUUGUGGUCAAAAAUAGCUCAAAAUAUAAAAUAGGAAGAGAUUGGGGGUGAAAGAGAUAUGUCAUGGAUUGAAUACAUUUUGAACACACUUUUC
ensembl:ncRNA C31H2.11 ncRNA